AGUUCCUUGAAAAUGUGGACUUCUCUGCAGGCCUUCUGGAGUGUCCUCCUGACAGCAACUGGCCUUUCCCAGAGAGAGUGAUCCAACAGAGAGAGCAAGUAGGAUAUAGCUGCGCCUUUCAUGACAGCCUCAGAAGCCACAAAUCACCGUGUCUGCUAUGUUUUAUUCAUCAGAAGUGAGUCGCUGAGUCCAACCAUAUUCACAGGGAGGCAAAGUAAGCUCUACCUCUUAAAGGAAAGGAGUAUCCAAGAAUUUGUGGAUAUAUUUUAAAACGGCCACAGUGAGUUAUCAAACUUGUUUUUAUCUUUGCCAAUAUGAUAGGUGGAAAUGGUAUCUAUUGUGAUUUUAAUGUGCAAUUUCCUUAUUGUGAGUUUUUUUACAGCUUUACUGAGGUAUAAUUGGUAUACAAAAACUGCAUAUAUUUAAUGUGUACAAUUUGAUGAGUUAGAACAUAUGCAAACAUCCAUGAUCUCAUCACCACAAUCAAGGUAAUAGACAUCCAACACCUUACAAGAUAAACAAAAUUGACUAAUCUUUAGCUAGAUUAAGAAAAAGAGGGAGACAACUCAAGUUAAUGAAAUCAGAAACAAAAGAGGAGACCUUGCGCUGUCACAGAAAUUAAAAGGAGAGAGUAGUAUGGAAAAUGAUAUCACAACAAAUUGGAUAACCUGGAAGAAGCAGAUAAAUUUCUAGAUACAUACAACCUACCAAGACUGAAUCAUGAAUAAAUAGAAAAUCUGAACAGAUCAAUAAUGAGUAAGGAGAUUGAAUCAUUAAUUUAAAAUUUCCCAAGAAAGAAAAGCUCAGGACCAGAUGGCUUCAUUCAUGAAUUCUAAUUUUUUUUUUUUUAGAAAAAGAAAACCAUUCAUAUUUCCUUUCUGUAAACUGUCUGUCCAUUACCUUUGUUGAUUUUUCUGUUGGGGUUUUGAUGUUUGUCUGAGGAUAUGAAUUGCAAAUAUUUUCCCUGUUUGCCUGUUAACUUCCUCUGUGGUGGGAUUUUUUUUUUCAUGCCAACUUUCUAAUGAAAUUAAAUUUUCAAAUGUUUCUACUAUUUGGAGCAUCUUAGAAAGAACUUUAGGGCCAGGUGCGGUGGCUCACACCUGUAAUCCCAGCAUUUUGGGAGGCCGAGGUGGGCAGAUCACCUGAGGUCAGGAGUUCAAGCCCAGCCUGACCAACAUGGCGAAACCCCAUCUCUACUGAAAAUACAAUAUUAGCCAGAUGUGAUGGUGCAUGCCUGUAAUCCCAGCUACUGGGGAGACAGAGGCAGGAGAAUCGCUUGAUCCUGGGACGCAGAGGUUGCAGUGAGCCAAGAUUGUGUCAUUGCACUCCAGCCUGGGCAACAAGAGCAAAACUCCAUCUCAAAAAAAAAAAGAAAGAAAGACCUUCAGCUCUCUGAGCAUAUGGUUAACAAUCUGCUAUGUGUUCAUAUAUAUACACAUACGUGUGUGUGUGUGUGUGUGUGUGUGUGUGUGUUUUGGUGGGGGAACAAGGUUUGCUUUGUCACCCAGACUGCAGUGCAGUGGCAUGAUCAUGGCUCACUGCAAUCCUCCCACUUCAGCCUCCUGAGUAGCUGAGACUGAAGCAAUCCUCCCACAUCAGCCUCCUGAGAAGCUAGGACUACAGUUGCAUACCACCACGCUCAGCUAAUUUUUUAAUUUUUGUGGAGACAGGUCUCACUGUGUUGCCCAGAGUGGCUUCAAACUCUCGGGCUCAAGUGAUCCUCCUUCUUGGCCUCCCAAAGUCCUGGGAUUACAGGCAUGAACUGCUGUGCCUGGUCUGUUUUCUUCUAUAUUUUUGUGGUGUAUUUUUUUCUAUAUUCAAAUAUUUGAUUCACCUAAAAUAUAUUUUGGUAUAAGCUGUGAGGUAAGGAAUCAAAUCUUUUUUUUAGUUCCAGAAGUUGACUGCAGAUCCUUGAAUAACAUUGUUUAGUUAACCAUUUCUUCACAACAUUGAUGAGAAAAAUAAAUUGCUUUCCAGCCAGAGCCACUCUCUAUGUGGAGUUUGCACUUUCUCCCCACAUCUGCAUGGGCUUUCUCCAGGUACUUUAGUUUCUACCCACAUCCCAAAGAUAUGCACCUUAGGUUUAUUGGCGUGUCUAAAUUGUCCCAGUGUGAGCAAGAGUGAGUGCGUGGGAGUGUGCCCUGUGAUGGGAUGACAUCCUACCCAAAGUUGGUUCACCUCUUAUGCCCUGAGAUGCCAAGAUAGACUCUGGCCACCAUGACCCUGAACUGAAAUAAGCCGGCUGGAAAAGGAAUGAAUGAAUACAAAUAAUUGUAAAGUAAAAAUUCAUAAAGUAUUCAAUAAUCAUGCAAAUGCACAACAAUAAACGAUGAGGUACAAAAGCACUCAGCAAACCUACCACAUUUAUGACUGUUUUGGAACUGCAUAGGGGCAAGAGAGGCUCCUCACAAUUAUCACUUUGCAAACAUUUAUUCCUUCAUUUAACCCACCACCACUACACCUGCCAUUACUCACUGACUCACCACAAAUUGACUAGUCAUUUACUGAUUUUUAUUAAUCUUUCUCAAAUGUUUGUAUAGCUCAUACUUAUUUCAAUGUUUAAGAUUAGAACUGUUGGGGAUAUUUAUUUAGAAGUUUGGCGAUUUUUUUUUGUGCCAGAAAUAUGCCAUAGGAACUUAGUUCUUGUUUCUCCUAAUUAGCCUAUGGUAAAAUUAGUUUCAUUAUGUGUCCAGUUUCCAGUUACCUAUAGACAAGCAGUCCCCAAAUUUUCUUGGCACCAGGGACCAGUUUCAUGAAAGACAAUUUUUCCAUGGGCCAGGGUGGCAGGGGAUGGUUUAAAGAUGAAACUGUUCCACCUCAGAUUAUCAGGCAUUAGAUUCUCAUAAGGAGUGUGCAACCUAGAUCCCUCACAUGUGCAGUUCACAAUAGGGUUCAUGCUCCUGUGAGAAUCUAAUGCUGCAGCUGAUCUGACAGGAGGUGGAGCUUAGGCCAUAAUGCUCACCUGCCACUCAUCUCGGGCUGUGCGGCCUGGUUCCUAACAGGCCACAAACUGAUAGCAGGGGUUGGGGACCCCUGCUAUAGACAAUGUUAAGUGAGGAGUUACUGUACCUAGUUUCACCAAUAUCAUUUGUUGAAUAAUUGCUAUGUUCUCCUUUGAUCAGCUAGUGUCCUGUUAGGAAAUGUGGAAGUACUCUAGAUAUUUCCAGCAGAGAAUAAAUUAAUGCAAACAAUUUGUGACAAGGAAUUGGAAGGGCUAAAGAAGCAACAGGGGAAAGAGAUAUUAGUCUGUGAUCAUGACGCUGCUAGUGCUCCUGGGCUGGAAACCAACAGUUUAUUUUCACUGCUGAGCUGCUGGCUGCAGGGCCAUUGCUUUUUUGGAACAUUUCUGUAGACAUUGAGCAGGAACCCCAGAACUUACAUUCUAAGGAUGCUGCUCAAACUACCACCAUUCUUACUAAUGCUGGUGGAGCCCAAGUUACCUGCUGCUGAUGUUCCUCCUGCGGCCAGAAGAGGCACCAGAAGCAGAAAAAUGGCUCCUUCUCACCUCUUGUUCCUCAAUCCCAACCAGUGAGUGGCCCUCAGUUGCAGAACCUUACCAUAGGCAGCUGACAAGAAAAUCCAGAAAUGUGGCGCUCUGGCUUCCAGCCAGCAUAUUUGUGGCAGAGGGGAGCAUGGAAGGUUGGGAAUGGGGGUAAAUGCCAACAUAUAAUCGGCUCACCCUCUGCUUUGAAAAAUCACAAAAUAAAUUCCUCAAUGCUUGAGGAUCUAUUCCUAAUUUUUUUCCACUAGUUUAUUUAUCUACUUAACAUUCAGUGUCACGUUGUUUUGAAUAUUAUGUUUUUAUAUCUAGUAGAAACAGUUCCCUCAUUUUUUUUCAUAACUUACCUAGCUUUCCUGGAUUGUUUAUUUUUUCCAUAUAAAUUUUAGGAGGCCAAAGCCUUAUCUGUUAAGAAAUCAGGGC
rnacentral:lncRNA from 1 species